rnacentral:misc_RNA from 1 species
AACAAAUUCAAUCCUACUGAGGUUGGGCCUAUAUUACUAUUCUAUUUGAUCCUACCAAUGUUAAGCCUUCUUGCCUGAACCAAUGCAUACUCCAAGCUCCUUUCAACAUUUGCUCUUACCAUAAAGAGUUGAUAAACUAUAUAGUUGGUGUUGUUUGCGCUAAUUUAAUUCAUCCAGGAAAUGUGUAAUUGCUCUCGUUAGACCUCUUCUUAUAGUUUCCACUUUAGCUUAGUAU